rnacentral:rRNA from 1 species
CAGCAGCCGCGGUAAUACGUAGGGUGCAAGCGUUAAUCGGAAUUACUGGGCGUAAAGCGUGCGCAGGCGGUUUUGUAAGUCUGAUGUGAAAGCCCCGGGCUCAACCUGGGAAUUGCAUUGGAGACUGCAAGGCUUGAAUCUGGCAGAGGGGGGUAGAAUUCCACGUGUAGCAGUGAAAUGCGUAGAGAUGUGGAGGAACACCGAUGGCGAAGGCAGCCCCCUGGGUCAAGAUUGACGCUCAUGCACGAAAGCGUGGGGAGCAAACAGGAUUAGAUACCCUGGUAGUCCACGCCCUAAACGAUGUCUACUAGUUGUCGGGUUUUAAUUAGCUUGGUAACGCAGCUAACGCGUGAAGUAGACCGCCUGGGGAGUACGG